ensembl:scaRNA
UGGCCAGUGAUGAAGUCACCAUUAGUGCAGUCUGAGUUCUGGGAACCAGGUGAUGGAGUGUGUUCCAAGAAUGGACUGAGGGCC